rnacentral:lncRNA from 1 species
UCAGAUAGUCCAAAAUCAAUUCGAAAAAUUGAUACGGAUAAUACAGUGACAUCGGCACAGUGGAGACAAACUUAAAUUAGUGAACCAACAGAUCUUAACAGACCUAAAAAAUUCAGAAAAUAAAAGACCGAGAGUAUCAACGANNNNNNUUGAACUGCGAACCAUAACAGCCACAACCACCACCACGAGGGAGGCAAUGGUGGUUGAAGCAAAACUUCUUGAACUAGAAGCAGAACCCACCGACCAAACUAGAACAUCGUCGAAAAGCACACUUGUGGCAGUAAGAAUUUGGCUUCUGUUUAAACAAUCCCAAAAGGGUUUUGAAAGGUGAUGACGUGGCAUAUAUAACAG